rnacentral:rRNA from 1 species
CCCCUAGAUGUUCUGGGCCGCACGCGCGCUACACUGAACAGUUCAACAAGUCUUAACCUUGGCCGAUAGGUCUGGGUAAUCUUUGAACGCUGUUCGUGAUUGGGAUAGACCUUUGCAAUUAUGGGUCUUCAACGAGGAAUUCCUAGUAAAUGCAAGUCAUCAGCUUGCAUUGAUUACGUCCCUGCCCUUUGUACACACCGCCCGUCGCACCUACCGAUUGAAUGGUCCGGUGAAAUCUCGGGACGGCGGCUUGGUCGCUUGCGUCCGACUGCUGAAACUUGAUUAAACCAUAUCAUUUAGAGGAAGGUGAAGUCGUAACA